rnacentral:rRNA from 1 species
CACGUAGGGCGCAAGCGUUGUCCGGAAUUAGUGGGCGUAAAGAGCUCGUAGGCGGUCUGUUGCGUCCGCUGUGAAAACUCGGGGCUUAACCCCGAGCCUGCAGUGGAUACGGGCAGACUAGAGGUAGGUAGGGGAGAAUGGAAUUCCCGGUGUAGCGGUGAAAUGCGCAGAUAUCGGGAGGAACACCGGUGGCGAAGGCGGUUCUCUGGGCCUUACCUGACGCUGAGGAGCGAAAGCGUGGGGAGCGAACAGG